AGGGCGCCCGGGGCGGGCAGUAACGGCGCCCGGGGCGGGGCGGGCCGCCAUGGAAGUGCGCAGCGAGGCUGCCUGCCUGCCGUCGGGGGACGACAGCCAUGCUGCCUCGCUGGCAAGGAGAGCAGAAGAUGGAGAUCCCUGGACGUGCUUUCUAAGAGGACAGCGGUACUAUGAAGAGGGGAGGUAUGAAGAAGCAUUCGUACAAUUUGAAAAAAACAAGGACACAGAUUUUCAGGCACUGUAUCAGCUUGGUGUAAUGCAUUAUGAUGGACUAGGCACUAAUAAGGACCCUGAAAAGGGAGUGGAAUACAUGAAGAAAAUACUCUACUCUGAUUCCCCAGAGGCAAAACACUUAAGGUUUGCAGCUGCGUACAAUCUUGGCAGAGCACAUUAUGAAGGAUAUGGUGUUAAGCAUUCAACUGAAGAGGCUGAAAGGUUGUGGCUUAUUGCUGCAGACCAUGGGAAUCCAAAAGCAAGUGUGAAGGCCCAGAGUACUUUAGGAAUGCUUUAUUCCAUGCCAGAUCUAAAAGAUCUGAAGAAGGCCUUUUUCUGGCACUCAGAAGCAUGUGGCAACGGAAGCCUGGAAUCACAGGGUGCACUUGGUGUUAUGUAUCUCUAUGGACAAGGUAUACGUCGGAACAGUAAGGCUGCUCUGAAGUGCUUGAAAGCAGCAGCAGAAAGAGGAAACAUCUAUGCUCAAGGCCACCUUGUGGAAUAUUAUUACAGUAGAAGAUUCUUCUCAACAGCUGCUGCCAUAGCCAAAAGGACUACAGAAAAUGACAACAUCGAGAUGCUAGCAACGAUGACUGAUUGUCUCCCUGCAUAUGCAGCCAAAGGGGUUGCUAUAGCUGCCUUCUACCUGGCUAGGUGCCUCCAUCUUGGCCGAGGCACAGAGAAAGAUGAAGCUGCUGCUAAAAAAUACUAUUCUAAGGCUUGCCUUCUGGAUCCUGAUGUUGCUUCUGAACUUGAACUGAAAGCUAAUCUUGGAAGAAUUUAAGUGUUUCCUUCAGUUCUGGCAGAACAUCACAGGUAACAGCAGCAUACAAGGUCCUUCCGCUCAUCUUCCAUGCAACUGCUCUUCUGAAAGCCUCGGAUUCUCCAAGCAAUGCAGUAAAUUCAGAUAUACCCUGAAGCAUCACUUCUAAUUGAAAAACAAAUAAGAAAACCCAAACCUGUUCUAGGACAGCGCCCCAGAAGCAUGCACACUCAAGGGGAAGCUGCCUCACUUGGUGGUUGAUUAAAGGGCAUUAAAUGAAAGCGCUGCAAACCCCAUUCUGCCUGGGGUGCUUCUGUCCAGGCUGCAGGUCCUUCCAUAUUCAAUGCCCUGAAACCUCUUCUCAGAAAUGCACAGCAUCACACAACAAUGACAACAUGGGUAGAUAGAGCAAGUGGCAGUGGCUGUGGUGCCACUCUUCCUGUAUGUCAAGUAGUUCCAGGCAGCAGAACCACCUCCUGUUUGCUCUCUGGGAUAUAGCAGAGAGUACCCAGACUUCACUUAGCUUUCUUAAUGAGUAUUAUGUACAAACUCCAGCAAUACUGGACCUUCUAUCCUCUGGUACUACCCUAGCCUGUGCCAUUUACCAGACAAAGAUGGGAGAAGCAAAGAAUAAGGCCAAAAUUACACUUAUUUAUGCAAAUAAGCAUGACUUACAGCUCCAAAGGAAAAAUCUAAAAUGCAGCAGAACAGGACCUGAUUAACUGGUUUCCUUACUAGUUAUUAGAUAUGGGAUUAAGCAGAAUGGAGGUGUUCUCACCUGG